rnacentral:rRNA from 1 species
CGUGAGAUGUUGGGUUAAGUCCCGCAACGAGCGCAACCCCUAUCUUCUGUUACCAGCACGUGAUGGUGGGGACUCAGGAGAGACUGCCGCAGACAAUGCGGAGGAAGGCGGGGAUGACGUCAAGUCAUCAUGCCCCUUAUGGCUUGGGCUACACACGUACUACAAUGGCUCUUAAUAGAGGGAAGCGAAAGGGCGACCUGGAGCAAACCCCAAAAACAGAGUCCCAGUUUCGGAUUGCAGGCUGCAACCCGCCUGCAUGAAGCGGAAUCGUCUAGUAAUC